CCUACGGGAGGCAGCAGUCGAGAAUCAUUCACAAUGGGGGAAACCCUGGUGGUGCGACGCCGCGUGGGGGAAUGAAGGUCUUCGGAUUGUAAACCCCUGUCAUGUGGGAGCAAAUUAAAAAGAUAGUACCACAAGAGGAAGAGACGGCUAACUCUGUGCCAGCAGCCGCGGUAAUACAGAGGUCUCAAGCGUUGUUCGGAAUCACUGGGCGUAAAGCGUGCGUAGGCUGUUUCGUAAGUCGUGUGUGAAAGGCGCGGGCUCAACCCGCGGACGGCACAUGAUACUGCGAGACUAGAGUAAUGGAGGGGGGACCGGAAUUCUGGGUGUAGCAGUGAAAUGCGUAGAUAUCGAGAGGAACACUCGGGGCGAAGGCGGGUUCCUGGACAUUAACUGACGCUGAGGCACGAAGGCCAGGGGAGCGAAAGGGAUUAGAUACCCCUGUAGUC
rnacentral:rRNA from 1 species